rnacentral:lncRNA from 1 species
GGUAAUGGGGUUAUAGGGGUAAUGGGGUUAUAGGGGGUAAUGGGGUUAUAGGGGUAAUGGGGUUAUAGGGGGUAAUGGGGUUAUAGGGGGUAAUGGGGUUAUAGGGGUAAUAGGGUUAUAGGGGGUAAUGGGGGCAAUGGGGGUAACCCUAUGUUACCCUAUGGUAACAUGUAAACCCUAUGUCCUCUAUUGGCUCAAUGGGGCUCUAUGGGGUCCCUAUGUUCUCUAUGGGGUCAAUGGGGCUCUAUGGGGUCUCUAUAUUAUCAAUGGGGCUCUAUGGGGUCUCUAUGGGGUCAAUGGGGCUCUAUGGGGUCCCUAUAUUAUCAAUGGGGCUCUAUCUAUGGGGUCUCUAUGUUCUCAAUGGGGCUGUAUCUAUGGGGUCUCUAUGGGGUUUGUUACCUUGUCUCCCCCCCGUGGCCGCGAUCCCGUCCACGUCCCGCAGGUCGGGCAGCCCAUGGAGCCCCAUAGAGACAGCGCCUGAAUGGGGGGGUGGGGAGAUGGGGGGCACACACUGACACACUCACCCUUACACACUCAUUUACACACUCAGUCACACACUCACACUCACCCUUACACACUCAUUUACACACUCAUUUACACACUCACUGACACACUCAGUGCUGUAUCUCACCCCUAUCCCCAUUCUAUCACACACACCCUUACACACUCACCCUUACACACUCAUUUACACACUCACACACACACACUCACCCUUACACACUCAUUUACACACUCAUUUACACACUCAGUGCUGUAUCUCACCCCUAUCCCCGCUCUCCCUGUUCCUCCCAUCCCCAUUCUAUCACACACACCCUUACACACUUACUCUUACACACUCAUUUACACACUCAAUUACACACUCAGUGCUGUAUCUCACCCCUAUCCCCUCUCUCUCCCCUGUUCCUCCCGUCCCCAUUCUAUCACACACAUUCUUACACACUCACUUACACACUCACACUCACCCUUACACACUCAUUUACACACUCAUUUACACACUCACUUACACACUCAUUUACACACUCGUUGCUGUAUCUCACCCCUGUCCCCGCUCUGUCCCCGGUUCCUCCCGUUGUUCUGCCCCGAUCCCAGGAAGUCGAACUCAUUCAGGGCGUCCUCGGAGUCGUCGUCAUCAUCAUCAUCAUCUUCAUCUUCAUCAUCAUCGUCAUUGGCCGCCAUGUCCGGCAGCAGAGGAACAGGGGGGAGCUGGGGGGGAUAUGGGGGUGCAAUAGGGGAUAUAUGGGUCAAUGGGGGAUAAUGGGGUAGUAUGGGGGUAUUGGAGUCAAUUGUGGACAG